AUUAAACGCUGGCGGCAUGCCUUACACAUGCAAGUCGAACGGCAGCACGGGGGCAACCCUGGUGGCGAGUGGCGGACGGGUGAGUAAAGCAUCGGAACGUAUCCUGGAGUGGGGGAUAACGUAGCGAAAGUUACGCUAAUACCGCAUAUUCUGUGAGCAGGAAAGCAGGGGAUCGCAAGACCUUGCGCUCUGGGAGCGGCCGAUGUCGGAUUAGGUAGUUGGUGGGGUAAAGGCCCACCAAGCCAACGAUCUGUAGCUGGUCUGAGAGGACGACCAGCCACACUGGGACUGAGACACGGCCCAGACUCCUACGGGAGGCAGCAGUGGGGAAUUUUGGACAAUGGGCGCAAGCCUGAUCCAGCAAUGCCGCGUGCAGGAAGAAGGCCUUCGGGUUGUAAACUAGCUUUGUACGGAACGAAACGGUACUGGGCUAAUACGGCAGGCUAAUGACGGUACCGUAAGAAUAAGCACCGGCUAACUACGUGCCAGCAGCCGCGGUAA
rnacentral:rRNA from 1 species